UCCGUGUCCAGAAAAGUAAGACCUUCCUUGCAUUUUCAGAGAGUUGUGGCUAUGGCAUUUUUGGCUGCGGAUGUAAAGUUAACGAGAUAACGUGGGGCAAGCAGUCAUAUGCCAAGAAGGGGCUCUGGAUAGGUCUGACUGAAGGGAGGGGCCCAAGGGCUGGAAUCUUGAAAAAGAUUGACGUCACGAGACGUCACUUCCUUGGGGACAAGCGUGUAACAGAUUUAGAACUCUGGUAACCAGGAAGCUGCGUUGAACAAUGUCCCUCUUUCCAGCGCACUUAACUGGAGCCGGUCAGGAGAACAAGACCUUCUGUUGCUGUUGCCCUACUUUCAGUGGCUCUGGGCUUAGGAGAGUCCAGAAAGAGAGAUGUUUAUGCCGCUAUGGACGUCAGUUCGGCCCUCUUUCCAAAGCUUCUGGUUAUGUGUGGGAGUCUUCAACAGAGCUGCACCCAGGAGAUCUUGGAGGAGAUGUUCUGUGGCUUCAACUCUUCUAACUCCCUAGACAAUGAUAGGGUGCUCCAGGCAAACAAGGAGCAGUGCUGUUCUGAGCACACUUAACUGGAGCCGGUCAGGAGAACAAGACCUUCUGUUGCUGUUGCCCUACUUUCAGUGGCUCUGGGCUUAGGAGAGUCCAGAAAGAGAGAUGUUCAUGCCGCUAUGGACGUCAGUUCGGCCCUCUUUCAAAAGCUUCUGGUUAUGUGCAGGAGACUUCAACAGAGAGAGAGAGAGAGAAAGGAAGAGACAUAGGCAGAGGGAGAAGCAGGCUCCAUGCACCG